AGGGUUCGAUUCUGGCUCAGGAUGAACGCUGGCGGCGUGCUUAACACAUGCAAGUCGAACGGGAUCCAUCAGGCUUUGCUUGGUGGUGAGAGUGGCGAACGGGUGAGUAAUGCGUGACCGACCUGCCCCAUACACCGGAAUAGCUCCUGGAAACGGGUGGUAAUGCCGGAUGCUCCAGUUGAUCGCAUGGUCUUCUGGGAAAGCUUUCGCGGUAUGGGAUGGGGUCGCGUCCUAUCAGCUUGACGGCGGGGUAACGGCCCACCGUGGCUUCGACGGGUAGCCGGCCUGAGAGGGCGACCGGCCACAUUGGGACUGAGAUACGGCCCAGACUCCUACGGGAGGCAGCAGUGGGGAAUAUUGCACAAUGGGCGCAAGCCUGAUGCAGCGACGCCGCGUGAGGGAUGGAGGCCUUCGGGUUGUAAACCUCUUUUAUCGGGGAGCAAGCGAGAGUGAGUUUACCCGUUGAAUAAGCACCGGCUAACUACGUGCCAGCAGCCGCGGUAAUACGUAGGGUGCAAGCGUUAUCCGGAAUUAUUGGGCGUAAAGGGCUCGUAGGCGGUUCGUCGCGUCCGGUGUGAAAGUCCAUCGCUUAACGGUGGAUCCGCGCCGGGUACGGGCGGGCUUGAGUGCGGUAGGGGAGACUGGAAUUCCCGGUGUAACGGUGGAAUGUGUAGAUAUCGGGAAGAACACCAAUGGCGAAGGCAGGUCUCUGGGCCGUUACUGACGCUGAGGAGCGAAAGCGUGGGGAGCGAACAGGAUUAGAUACCCUGGUAGUCCACGC
rnacentral:rRNA from 1 species